GCUGAGGAUGGCAUCGGAUCAUGCUUCUCAGACAAAUACAAGAAAAGCAUGCGCUGUUCACUUUUAAAUCUUUCUGUGGGGUCCUUUUCACUCUACCUGGGCCUCAUUUAUCUCGGGACUUGUACAGGAUCCUGCUGGAAGACGUCGGAGUUGUUAAGUGACAACUGAAAGCCGGUUUAGGAUUAGCCAAAUUUAACCAGAUCAGAAGAGAGGCAGAUGUGAAACAACCUGCGGAAAUCAGUGGCCGGGAAAGGCAAAAAGAAGUCUGAAACGUGGUCAUGAGUAGGACAAGUGGCUGUUUGCUACAGGAGGAAGGCUCGGGAAGCCAGGCUUCCAGUCGUCCAGGAUGGCUCAAGGAUCAGUCCUGGGAGCUUGUGAGAUGGGCCUUGUCGUAGACCUGCAGGGUCCCCAUCUGCCUUGUGACUGGGUCCACGAGUGCUUCCCGUGCACACUCAAGUGUGAGACGCUGUAGGAAAGUGAGCAGGCAAAGGACCCUGCGCUCCGGAAGACAUUUUGGAUCCUAUUUUCUAGAAGCAGGAAGAUCAAGGAAGAGUGCAAGCAGAAAUUAGAAAAAGUCAUGAUAUUGCAUAAUAAAAUUCAGAUCUGUGAACACACGUGUGUAUAUAUGACUAUAAAAACAAAAACAUAAUGUGUAUAUAAACCAUUAAAAACAAUUAGAAUCCUUCUGAGAAGCUCACUUGACAGCCGUAUGGGAUAAAGGAUUUAAGAAGUAUUUAAAUGUGUCAUACUUUAUCCUGUGUUUUCUUUUAUACUAAUUCCCACAGAAUAUCAGGGCCCCUGCUCCCACUUUCCAGGGAGCUAAAUGUUCCCGGAGAGUAAUUCUCAGCCAACAUUUUAUCAAAUGGCAAGUUCAGCAGAGACUCACUCUCCGAUGAUGAGGUCACGAAACACAAGUCAACCCAGUCACCACCUGACGGAACCUUGCACAGAAUUGGGAUAGCACCAUGAGAAGUAUGAAGCAAGAUGGAAGGAUGGAAGAGCUUUCAGCACACAGGCACACAGAGACUGACAGCAAAGGAGGUUGGGGAAACACCCAUGCCUUAAAUUCUGCUCUUCCGCAUGCAGGAACGUGACAACUUUGUUAACAGGGGAUGUUUGCACUGCCAAAGAACACUGGAAUGGAAAAAUGCAAAUCAAAUGCAAACGAGAUGCCUCAGGCCUAAGGAGCCCCUCCUGCUCUGAAGAGAGAAGAAAAAGGUCAUACAUCUGUAAAAUGACAGCACUUAUGAAAAAUGAGAGCUUGGCCCACAUGGCUCUCAUCAGACACAGUCUCAUCUGCUGUACCACAGACACUGCUCAUUUCCUUCGGAAUCAGACUGCAGUUAGAAACAGGAAACACCUAAUAAAUUGCCUGGUCUAUCAAAUUAACAAAGCAUAAAGAAAUGUUCUAUGUAAUCAAUGAGUAUUGCUUGCUUAAAAAAAAAAGGAAAGAAAGAAACAAAUUUAAGUGUCAAAUGUAAGGAACCUAGAAAUGUGACCAUAUUUUUUCCUAUAAAACUACUUUAAAAUGUCAUUCUAACCUAAUUUUAGAAAUAAAGAAGCCCAACCAGAGAAGGCAUAGAAAAUUGGACUUUCUACCUGUUUUGCUACCAAGGUAGACUUAAAGCAUUUCCAAAGCAAUAAAAAAUUUUGUCAUGUAAUGCAUUAAGAUAUUUCAGCACACAAUUGAAAAAACAAAAUAAAUUAAAUGUAUAAAAAUCAUACAAGCAUCAGAAUUCCCAAAAUGAUAAUUAUGAAAAUAUUUUCUCAUACAAUAUUUGUUAUGAGCUGCUUAUGUUCAUAAGCUCUUGUCUAGAGUGAAAUCAAUAAUAAACCAUGAAACAAGAAUGUACUUUCUUGAAUUGUAUUUCAGAUUAGAAAAAUACAGGUGAAUUUAUGUUUGGGUAGGAGAGUGGGAAAUCCCUACUUCUAAAAAAAAAAAAAAAAUCCUUUCUCUUGGACCAGUGCUGUGACGGAGUUGGUUAAACUGCCACCUGUCAUAAAAGCAAAAAUUUUGUGCCUUGGCUCAAGUUCUAGCUCUUCCAUUUCUUUCUUUUUUUUUAAGAUUUAUUUAUUUCAAAGGCAGAGUUAUAGAGAAUCAGAGGCAUAUUCAGAGAGAGAGAGAGAGAGGGAUAUGGGGGAGAGAGAGAGAGAGUGACAGAGAGAGAAAGGUGUUCAAUCAACCAGUUCACUCCCCAAAUGACUGUAACAGCGGGAGCUGGAACGUCCCAAAGCCUAGAGCCUGGAGCACCUAUGGGUUCAGGGCCCCAAGAACCAUGGCCAUCUUUUAUUGCUUUCCCAGGCCAUAGCAGAGAGCUGAAUCAGAUUGGAAAUGGAGCACCUGAGAUUCGAACCAACUCCAAUAUGAGAUGCCGGAACCACAGGUGGUAGCUUUACCCACUAGCACAGAGUGCUGGCCCGUCCUUCAUUUCCAAUCCAGUUUCCUGCUAAUGUUCCUGGGCCUAGCCCCAGCAGGUAUAUCCAUUUAUGGGUUGAACUAGCUGAUGGAAGACCUCUUUCUCUCCAUCUCACCUCUCUCUCUCUCUCCCCCUAUGUGUGUGUGUAUGUGUGUCUAACUCUGUAUUUCAAAUAAAUAAAUCUUUUUUUUAAAAUCAUUUCUUUCUGAAAAAAUAAGAAAAAAAAUCUUGCCUUCAUUUCUUUUGAAGCCUUUGGAAGUCUAAUAUCUCAAAUGUGUAUGUGCUUCAGGUUUCAUCCUUAUCCUCAAAACAAGCUUCUAGGAAAAUGUUAGGAAAAUAAAAACUUUUCAGAAAAGAUGAAAAGAAUAGACCUUAGAUUCCCAAGUCUGAACAGACACCAUAGGAAAAAAAAAAAAAAAAACCUUUGUUUCAGGACGAAAUUCAACUGCUCAGUCCCUCAGAAGUAACACAAUGCGUUUCUAUCACCAUUCAAAGACACUUUGCUUCUAUAGUUGAGAAUACAUGCCACUGAGACACUGUUACUUGUCCUGUGUGUGAGUGACCCCUUCAGGUGCUGUAUAGAAAAGACUGCUGUACACACCCAGUGGAAACAGUCUGAUACAAUAAAUAAAUGCUAAGAAUUUCCAGAAAAACGUUUCAACAGAGCGAUUAAUAAUAAAUGUGAAAUGAUUAGGAAAAUGCUUCUUCAACUAAGGCAUUUCACACACCAUUCAUACAUUCACGUAUUAGCCAAGAAACAAUUUUUGAAUACUGCUGCCAAGAAACUGUGUUGCAGAUCCAUCAACCACAGUAGUCAGAAAGCGAUGUCAGUUUCUAUUUCAAACAACCCAUGCUCUGACCGUGUACUAGAACUUAUCAAAUCACAUAUCUGGAUUUUACUAGAAAAUAUAAUUUAUUACAACAAUAAGGGGUAUACUAAUGCAUCCUCCUAGCCAUUUUGCAGUUUGUAAUGAAUUACAGGCUGCUUUUAAAAAUUCCAGUAAUUAAGCUAGACUUGUCAAAAAAGAUGUAUUGAUUUCCUAUUCUUUGUAGUCUUAAAUGAAAUGUCUGAAGCCACCAGAAGAGUCAGCUGGCACGAAAAAAUGGUAUUUGGAUCAGGGAUAAUCAUGACUGUGA